AGAGGACAAAGGCGCUGUCUCCUUAUGGGAUAGUUUCCAGGUGUAUGUUACUUUUGUAAGCUAAGUCUGCCUUCUGGGAUCCAACUGUGAACAGAAUUUGUAAAAGCCUCAAGAACUAUCAGAAUUGAAGGACACUUUCCAGCCCGAGAGGGUGUGAAGCGGAGCUGGUGAGGGGUGUGGCCUGGGCAGAGGGGUCGUGGCCUUGGGAAACUCCCAAGGGCCAGGCUGAGAUGCCUGGAGGGCCACAUUCAGCUUCUGGGUCUGAGGUUCCCAAUCGCCUUACAUGAUAGGAUGUUAACAUAAGACGAGCCCUGCUGGACCAAACUGAUGUUUCUCUCAUUUAGGAUUGCAAUAAGAUGCUCUUGUAAAAUAGCAGAAAGAAUGGAUCCAGUUCAAUGGGGCCCGUUUCAUAUCUGCUUCUUCUUUAUCUUCCUUUGUGUAACAAAGACAUAGUGCCAUUUA